rnacentral:rRNA from 1 species
CCUACGGGUGGCAGCAGUGAGGAAUAUUGGUCAAUGGGCGCGAGCCUGAACCAGCCAAGUCGCGUGAGGGAAGACGGCCCUACGGGUUGUAAACCUCUUUUGCCGGGGAGCAACGGGCGCCACGUGUGGCGCCACUGAGAGUACCCGGAGAAAAAGCAUGGGCUAACUCCGUGCCAGCAGCCGCGGUAAUACGGAGGAUGCGAGCGUUAUCCGGAUUUAUUGGGUUUAAAGGGGGCGUAGGCGGAGCGUUAAGUCAGUGGUAAAAUGGAGGGGCUAAACCCCUUCCAGCCAUUGAAACUGGCGCUCUUGAGUGGAAGAGAAGUAUGCGGAAUGCGCGGUGUAGCGGUGAAAUGCAUAGAUAUCACGCAGAACCCCGAUUGCGAAGGCAGCAUGCCGGCUUCCGACUGACGCUGUAGCACGAAAGCGUGGGGAUCGAACAGGAUUAGAUACCCCAGUAGUC